AUUGAACGCUGGCGGAAUGCUUUACACAUGCAAGUCGAACGGCAGCACGGACUUCGGUCUGGAGGCGAGUGGCGAACGGGUGAGUAAUACAUCGGAACGUGCCCAGUCGUGGGGGAUAACGUAGCGAAAGCUACGCUAAUACCGCAUACGAUCUAAGGAUGAAAGCGGGGGACCGUAAGGCCUCGCGCGAUUGGAGCGGCCGAUGGCAGAUUAGGUAGUUGGUGGGGUAAAGGCCUACCAAGCCGACGAUCUGUAGCUGGUCUGAGAGGACGACCGGACAGACUGGGACUGAGAGACGGCCCAGACUCCUACGGGAGGCAGCAGUGGGGAAUUUUGGACAAUGGGCGCAAGCCUGAUCCAGCCAUUCCGCGUGCAGGAUGAAGGCCCUCGGGUUGUAAACUGCUUUUGUACGGAACGAAAAGGCUCUGGUUAAUACCUGGGGCUCAUGACGGUACCGUAAGAAUAAGCACCGGCUAACUACGUGCCAGCCGCCGCGGUAA
rnacentral:rRNA from 1 species